UGGGCACUCUAAGGAGACUGCCGGUGACAAACCGGAGGAAGGUGGGGAUGACGUCAAGUCAUCAUGGCCCUUACGGCCUGGGCUACACACGUGCUACAAUGGUCGGUACAAAGGGUUGCCAAGCCGCGAGGUGGAGCUAAUCCCAUAAAACCGAUCGUAGUCCGGAUCGCAGUCUGCAACUCGACUGCGUGAAGUCGGAAUCGCUAGUAAUCGUGAAUCAGAAUGUCACGGUGAAUACGUUCCCGGGCCGUU
rnacentral:rRNA from 1 species